UAGCAAAUAGACUACCAUGUAGUAAAGGAUCAACAAGAAAGUAUGAGUGGCCCAAACCCUGCCUCUUCUAAAGAAAGCUUUGGCACUUACCUGGAUCGUGGGAAAUAAUUUCUAAGCCCCUGGAACAUUUUGCCUGUUAAGAAUGUGUGUCUUUGCCAGACACCUUUGGCCCAUCAGAGAGUCUGUAGUAGCAAUGUAAUUUAUGGUGGGAAUUUUGAGCAGCACGACAUCAGCUUGACCUCUGGAGGGGAUGGAGAAAAGGUCAUCCACCUGGGUAAUCUGCCAUGUCUACGUUGUUAAACCCCCAAUAAAAACUCUGGACACGCAGACUCUGGUGAGACUCUCUGGCUGACAAUACUUAGCACGUGUUGUCACACAUCAUUGGUGGGAGAACUAAGUACUGUCUACAUGACUCAACUGGGAAAGGGCAGCUGAAAACUUAUGCCUGGACUCUCCUGGCCUCUGACCAAUAGAAAUAGCUUAUGUGCUUUUUUGCUGAUUUUAAUCUCUGUCCUUUCGCUGUAAUUAACUGUGAGCAUAACAGUCUUUUAAAGUUCAGUGAGUCCUUUUACUGAAUCAUUAAACCAAAGUGUGAUCUUGAGGACCAAACACAACUACAAAGUCUUAAUGGCAUGACACAAUAAAAGUUUACUUGCUGUUUAUGUGAAGUCUUCUGCAGGACUGGGUGCCCUAAUGGCCAACCAUUCUCUAAGCAGUUAGAGAACCAGGCUCUGCCAUCUCAGAGUCCACUGUUUCUAGUCACACAGACGGCAGAAUGAGAGCAAGGAAGAACAUGCAGGAUGUUUUAGAGGCCAGGCUUGUAAGUUUAAGUGUCACUUCUGUUCAGAUUCUAUUGGCCAGAACCCAGUCAUAUGGUGCCAGCCUAAAACAAGGAUGGUUGAAGAGGGGUCUUCUUGUGUCACCAAGAAGAGGAAAUAAAAAUGCUUGGCCCAGUCUUCCAUCACUUAUGGAAACAAUUGCCUGGAUUAAAGGCCCUCUACUUAAAAUACCAAGUGGCCGAGAGCAGGAGAGCAGUGGUUCACGCCUAUAAUCCCAGCACUUCAGGAGGUCUAGGCGAGAGGAUCCCCUGAACUCAGUAGUUCAAGAUCAGCUUCAGCAACAUAGUGAGACCUCGUCUCUACUAAAAAUUAAAGAAAAAACAAGCUGUGCAAGGUGGCAAGCGCCUUUAGUCCCAGCUGCUCAAGAGGCUGAGGUGAAGAUUGCUUGAGCCCAGGAGUUUGCAGUGAGUAAUGAUGGCAGCCAGCUUAGGUGACAGAGCAAGACCCUGUCUUCGAAUAAAUAAAAUAUCCAAGUGGUUUCCAUUUUCUGAUUAGAGGCUGACUAAUGCAAUGAAAUUUUCAUAUCACAUGUUAAGACUUCUGUAUUAAUUUAGAAAUAAUGUUUUUUCCAUUUCCAUUUGUUCAAUGUCUUCAUAUUGUUUUUGUCCUUAAUAUAAAUCAUUUGUUUGUCAUCUAACUCAGUGUUUCACAAUACAGCAUGUUUAGAGAAAGAAUUUUUGGAAUUGAUCUAUAGUGUUUCCACAGGUAGUCUUAUCUUAAACCCAAAGGACUAUUUUUAUAAUAUUAAAAUGUAUUUCCAUUCACCCUGCUGAUGUAUUUUUUGUGAUUGCUACAAUAUUGUCUUACCGUAUUUUUUAAGAUUGCCUGUAUUGAAAUAAUGUAAUUUAAUUUAUAUAAAAUAAAAGACAAACAUUUUAAGUGUACAGUUUGCUGAACUUUGACAAAUCCAGACACUUCUGUAGCCACCGACACAAUCGACAAAUAGAAAACCUUCAUGAUCUCCACAGUUCCCUCAAGCCCACUUGUGGUCAAUCCCAUCUUUGGGCCCAGCUGACUACUUGUUUGCUUUCUGUCACUCCAAAUUAGCUUCUUCUUUUCUAAAAUAUCAUAUAAAUGGCAUCCUAUGUAUGUUUUCUUAGUGUCUGGCUUCUUUCUCUCAGCCCAAUAAUUUUGAAAUCUAGUCACACUAUGUGUAUUAGUACAUUAUUUUUGUUCUUACUUAGUAGAAUCCAUCAUAUGGAUUAAGUGAAAUGUGUCUAUUUAUUUUGGUGAAUAUUUGAGUGUUUCCAGUUUGAGCAAUUAUGAAUAAAGCUGUUAUGACAAUGCAAGUAUAAGUCUCCUAGUGAACAUAUAUUUUUAUUUUUCUUGAGUAAAUACCUAGGAGUAGGAGUG
rnacentral:lncRNA from 1 species